rnacentral:rRNA from 1 species
GUCUACGGCCAUUCCACCCUGAACGCGCCUGAUCUCGUCUGAUCUCUGAAGCUAAGCAGGGUCGGGCCUGGUUAGUACUUGGAUGGGAAAAGGACAGGGGAGAUACCAGAAGCAAACA